rnacentral:lncRNA from 1 species
UUGGCAUUCUAUAUACUCAAUCUGAAACUUUACAACACUUCUUAUAAAUAAGCAUUAUUUUCCUCUUUGAGCCUCAGCUAACUUAAAGGUCCAAAGUAACACAAUCAAGUGUUGACAUUUUGCUGAAACCUUCCAAGACGGGAACUCCUGCUGUGGAUAGGAGAUGCCAUUUCAUUGAAAAUGAGAAAUCAGAAGUCAAAUAUACUUUAUUCAUAAAAGCUGAACUCAAGACUUUUGGGAAAUAACGUGUAUGUGCAAACAAAUACAUACUCCAGAGAAAUUCCUCAUCUCAGAAAUAACCUUUAUUAUUAGUUACUAAUUGUAUUGACUUAUUCUAAAACAAGAAGUACAAAAUAACAUAUUGAUGUAUUAUUUUUCUAAAUUACAAAAAUAGAUUCACUAUUAGGUCUGUAAUACUUUUGACACAUAACUUUUAGUAAUAUAUCUUGUUUAGUUGACUAUUUAUAGUUAUCUUGGUGUGUCUUAUACAAUUCAUGACAUUAGAAUUGAAAACUGAAGUUAGAAAUUUUUUUCUGAUAUAAAGUAAGAUUUGAUUGAUUUGAGAUGUGGACUGGUUUUGCUCACUAUCUUCUGUGAUAAAUAUUUAUUAAAAAUGAGCUAAAUCUGCUGAGGCAAAGUUAUGAUUAAAAUGUGUUUAAGUUAUAUUAAAAAUAAGGAUUCCUAUGCAAUGCUUGUUUCCUCUGUCAAUUGUUAAGUUUA